rnacentral:lncRNA from 1 species
CUUUCAUGAACUUGAACUUAUCUGCAGUUGAGAACAAAAAAAGUGAUAAAAAUCUGGGUAAUGAAAGUGCAUUGGUUUCGAUUUUCAGUGGUUUGUUUGAGAGCUAAUCUUGAUCUUUCUGAAGUUGCUGGUAAAAAUAUUGUAAAUGAGUUGUGUGGGUACAGCCUAUGGUGGAUUAAAAAGUUCUUGCUCGUACCUGGAGAUGUCAGCUAUUGGCCCACCUGAAAUAAAAUCCUGUGUAAGAAAACAUUAACAACCUGAGCCUGAGUGAGAAGUCUCAUUCAGUGUUCAUGCUUGUGGCCUGGGGAGCAUGAGGCGAUCUGACAUAAGAUACACAAGCCAAUUACUACUUAAUGCUUACUGAAUAAUUCACUGAAAAAUGGAUCGUAGAAGUGUGCUUAAUGCUUUACUCAAUUCUGAAAUUGUGAUUAAAAUGUGUGACUGAACCAAGCAGAAGCUUGGCACUAAAUCUGCUUGUUAGUAUUGGCAAUAGAUUAUUAUUGUUGUUUUUUGUUGUUGUUGUUGUUUGUUUGUUUGUUUGUUUGUUUGUUUGUUUUUGGUUUUUUAAGAGGAAGAAGCUCAAAAGAGCUGGAGUAUUUUGAUUUGAAAAUUGGCAAAUGUGAUUGCCUGAGGGGUAGACAGGGGUAGAAACUGUUUUAUUGAGUAGAUAAGAAUUCUGAACACAGCAGGAAACAUAAUCUACAAAGCUUUCCAAAAAUGCCAGCACUGAUAUUAAAUAUGUAUGCCUCACCCCAUUUGAGUAAUAAGAGUACUGUGAGUUAAAUUUAUUUCUCACAGUGGUGAAAAACACAUCCCACACAGAUAUGAUAAAGCACCAGAAGAACAAUGAGACAACCUGGGGGAUGAGCACUGCUGUGCUACCAACCAGCAGGCCUACGGCCCCUCCAACCUCUUCCCGCACCCCCAGGCGAAGAGAAUCCCAAGGAUAAGGCUGUGGGCAAGGUCCCUGUGCUACACGGCUCCCAUGCACUUCCUAGAGCCUGCCUGGCCCAGCUCCCCGGACACGGGAACCUCCACUACUUCCCUUGGAUCAAAAGAAAAAAUAUGCUGUCCAAAGUACUCCGCUACAUGCCACAGGCAAGCAGACCAUCCUGCACAUAGCUUGACUUGCCUAAGAAAUUUGCUUUGCUCCGUAGUGUUUGAAGAAUCUUUGUGGGAUUUUUUGUGGGAAAGCCAUAACAUGCAUUAACUCUCGGACUUCACAAUUCUUCACCUUAUCUGCAAGCAAAUAAAAAGUCUGUGGAAAUCUAAAUGGUAGAUUUG